rnacentral:rRNA from 1 species
GGACCCGACUGCUAUCGGGGUGAGACUAAGCCAUGCGAGUCGUACGCCCUUCGGGAAUGGGAAGGGCGUGGCGCACGGCUCAGUAAUACGCAGUCAACCUGCCCUCAGGACGCGCAUAACCUCGGGAAACUGAGGCUAAUGCGCGAUAGGCUAAAGCGCCUGGAAGGGGCUUUAGCCGAAAGGGCCUGGCGACCAUCCUUCGCCAGACCGCCUGAGGAUGGGACUGCGGCCGAUCAGGUAGUUGGUGGGGUAAAGGCCCACCAAGCCUAUAACCGGUACGGGCUCUGAGAGGAGGAGCCCGGAGAUGGGCCCUGAGACAAGGGCCCAGGCCCUACGGGGCGCAGCAGGCGCGAAACCUGCGCAAUGGGCGAAAGCCCGACGCGGUCACCCCGAGUGCCUCCCGGGGAGGGAGGCCUUUCCCGGCUCUAAAAGGGCCGGGGAAUAAGGGGAGGGCAAGCCUGGUGUCAGCCGCCGCGGUAAUACCAGCCCCCCGAGUGGUCAGGACGAUUAUUGGGUCUAAAGCAUCCGUAGCCGGCCCCGUAAGUCCUUCGUUAAAUCCAACGGCUCAACCGUUGGGCUGCGGGGGAUACUGCGGGGCUAGGGGGCGGGAGAGGCCACCGGUAUUCCCGGGGUAGGGGUAAAAUCCUCUGAUCCCGGGAGGACCACCAGUGGCGAAGGCGGGUGGCCAGAACGCGCCCGACGGUAGGGAUAAAGCUGGGGGAGCGAACCGNNUUAAAUCCCCGGGUAGCCCCANCCGUAAACGAUGCGGGCUAGGCUUUGGGCCAACCACGCGUUGGUCCAGGGCCGCAGGGAAGCCGUUAAGCCCGCCACCUGGGGAGUACGGCCGCAAGGCUGAAACUUAAAGGAAUUGGCGGGGGGGCACCACAAGGCGUGAAGCCUGCGGUUCAAUUGGAGUCAGCGCCGGGAAUCUUACCGGGGGAGACAGCAGAAUGAAGGUCAGGCUGAAGACCUUACCAGAGUAAAGCGAGCUGAGAGGUGGUGCAUGGCCGUCGCCAGACGCGCCAGCGCCUUGUAAAGGUGUGAUGGCGCCUGGUGCGGGCGAACUCGUGCCGUGAGGUGUCCUGUUAAGUCAGGCAACGAGCGAGACCCGCGCCCUUAGUUGCCCUCCCUUGCGAAAGCAAGAGAGGGGAAACUAAGGGGACUGCCGCCGCUAAGGCGGAGGAAGGAGCGGGCUACGGCAGGUCAGUAUGCCCCGAAACCCCCGGGCCACACGCGGGCUGCAAUGGUGGGGACAAUGGGUUCCGACCCCGAAAGGGGGAGGUAAUCCCAAAGCCCCACCCCAGUUGUGAUUGAGGGCUGAAACUCGCCCUCAUGAACCUGGAAUGCCUAGUAACCGCGCGUUAUCAUCGCGCGGUGAAUACGUCCCUGCCCCUUGCACACACCGCCCGUC